rnacentral:rRNA from 1 species
ACAUGCAAGUCGAGCGGAUGAAGGGAGCUUGCUCCUGGAUUCAGCGGCGGACGGGUGAGUAAUGCCUAGGAAUCUGCCUGGUAGUGGGGGAUAACGUCCGGAAACGGGCGCUAAUACCGCAUACGUCCUGAGGGAGAAAGUGGGGGAUCUUCGGACUCACGCUAUCAGAUGAGCCUAGGUCGGAUUAGCUAGUUGGUGGGGUAAAGCUACCAAGGCGACGAUCCAUAACUGGUCUGAGAGGAUGAUCAGUCACACUGGACUGAGACACGGUCCAGACUCCUACGGGAGCAGCAGUGGGGAAUAUUGGACAAGGGCGAAAGCCUGAUCCAGCCAUGCCGCGUGUGUGAAGAAGGUCUUCGGAUUGUAAAGCACUUUAAGUUGGGAGGAAGGGCAGUAAGUUAAUACCUUGCUGUUUUGACGUUACCAACAGAAUAAGCACCGGCUAACUUCGUGCCAGCAGCCGCGGUAAUACGAAGGGUGCAAGCGUUAAUCGGAAUUACUGGGCGUAAAGCGCGCGUAGGUGGUUCAGCAAGUUGGAUGUGAAAUCCCCGGGCUCAACCUGGGAACUGCAUCCAAAACUACUGAGCUAGAGUACGGUAGAGGGUGGGUGGAAUUUCCUGUGUAGCGGUGAAAUGCGUAGAUAUAGGAAGGAACACCAGUGGCGAAAGCGACCACCUGGACUGAUACUGACACUGAGUGCGAAAGCGUGGGGAGCAAACAGGAUUAGAUACCCUGGUAGUCCACGCCGUAACGAUGUCGACUAGCCGUUGGGAUCCUUGAGAUCUUAGUGGCGCAGCUAACGCGAUAAGUCGACCGCCUGGGGAGUA